rnacentral:lncRNA from 1 species
CUUGCUGAUCAGAAGGUCGGUGGUUCGAAUCCCCAUGACGGGGUGAACUCGCGUUGCUCCGUCCCUGCUCCUGCCAACCUAGCAGUUUGAAAGCACAUCAAGGUGCAAGUAGAUAAAUAGGUACCACUCUGGCGGGAAGGUAAACAGCGUUUCCGUGCGCUGCUCUGGUUUGCCAGAAGCAGCUUAGUCAUGCUGGCCACAUGACCCGGAAGCUGUACGCUGGCU